UACGUAGGGUGCGAGCGUUGUCCGGAAUUAUUGGGCGUAAAGGGCUCGUAGGCGGUUUGUCGCGUCGGGAGUGAAAUCCACUGGCUUAACUGCUGGCUUGCUUUCGAUACGGGCAGACUGGAGGUAUGCAGGGGAGACUGGAAUUCCUGGUGUAGCGGUGAAAUGCGCAGAUAUCAGGAGGAACACCGGUGGCGAAGGCGGGUCUCUGGGCCGAUAUUGACGCUGAGGAGCGAAAGCGUGGGGAGCGAACAGG
rnacentral:rRNA from 1 species